rnacentral:lncRNA from 1 species
UGCAGAGGAAAAAUGCGGGGAGGGAGGAAGGAAAGACUCUGCAGAAAAAAAAAAACCCACUCUCAAGGCCCAGAUCUGGUAGUAUAAGAGAGGAGAUAGAGAUUUUAGAGAAUACAAUAGGAGGGAGUUUGUCUUUCUGAGUGAAAUAACUUGCUCUCAGCCUAGGUGAUAGCUUGCCAGUAGCUGUCACAAAGCAGAUACCUUGGGGAUCAGUCAGGAAAUUCUUAGGAUUUCUGCUCUCUGGAUUCAAGUGAGGAUCAGCUGGGAAGCAGGGAGAGUGUGUGUUCACAGCUCAGAGGAACUUCAGGAAAUGAAAGCUGACAAUAGCUGCAGCUCGGCACAAAGGCGGAGGAGGUGACAAGGUGAAAUAGCUGCAUCUCAGUUUUACUCCCAAUUCUGAAACCAGAUUUUCAUGCCAUAGAUCACACAGCAGUUUCUAAGCCUUUGGAAAAGGGAUGUAUCAAGGAAGGGGAAGAAAAUGAAGGGUUUGUUGGUGGUUCUUUCAUAAUUUUGUGGGCUGGAGCAUGAAACAAGCCGGAAAAAUGCUGAU